rnacentral:rRNA from 1 species
AUUGAACGCUGGCGGCAGGCCUAACCCAUGCAAGUCGAGCGAGCGGCGGACGGGUGCGUAAUGUAUAGGGACUGCCCGAUAGAGGGGGAUAACUAGUGGAAACGGUAGCUAAUACCGCAUACUAUCGGAUAACCCAUAUGGGAUUCGCUAGUAGGUGAGGUAAUGGCUAACCUCGGCGACGCUCCCUAGCUGGUCUGAGAGGAUGUUCAGCCAGACUGGGAAUGAGACACGGCCCAGACUCCUACGGAGGCAGCAGUGGGGAAUAUUUCACAAUGGUGUCAAUCCGGAUGCAGCCAUGCCGCGUGUAGUAAGAAGGCCUUAGGGUUGUAAAGUUCAGUUGGUUGUGAGGCGGUACGGACAGAAGAAGCACCGGGUAACUCCGUGGCAGCAGCCGCGGUAAUAC